rnacentral:rRNA from 1 species
GGGUUCAUACGUUGGUCGGGCUUUUGGGUCUGUACUGGCGUAAUGGAUUCCUACCUUCUGAAUAACCGGCAUGCCAUUAUUUUGGUGCGCCGGGGAAGCAGGACUGUUACCUUGAAAAAAUUAGAGUGCUUAAAGCAGGCUAUCGCCUGAAUACAUUAGCAUGGAAUAAUGAAAUAGACCGGCAUGGUUCUAUUUUGUUGGUUUCUAGGAUCACCGUA